UCGGUGGGAUCAAGAAAAGCAGCACACGUGAUUCUUACUGAGACCCACACGUCAGGGCUGUCACCUACGGCAGAGCCAGUGCUAGGCUAACAAAAGAUUGCUUAGCCUCGCGACUGCUAACGUUAGUGAUUUAAAAAAAAAGUCAGAUAUGAACAAGUGCCCCAAAGCAAAGUCUAGACAGUUCUUUCAGGUUUUCAUGUAGUUUAAUUAGACCCUGACUGGUAAAGGCAAGGAUUCAAAGUCUUCUGACCUCAAGGCCAUAUUUAUACAAAGCCCACACAAAAGCGGCACUCUGUCAAGAAUGGGUAUGUAACACUCUUUACUUUGGAUUUCCUGACAUCUGGUGAGAGACGUUUUGUGCUGACCCAUAACACAUACAUACAUACAACACACACACACACACACACACACACACACACACACACACACACACACCACCCCUCGAAGUCCAGCACUAGACACCUGACCCGUGUUGAAUAUCCAUGUCACCACUAUGCUGUCCCAACAUCCACUGGCCCUCAUGACUCUGCUCUCUACAGCUGGCUGUUUGUCCGCUGUUCUGGCCCAUAUUACCUGCUAAGUCAUUCUCUAGUCAUUGCUGCUUGCCCAUUUUUCACCAUGUUCUUGGAGCCUGUUCUGCCCUACAUAACCGGUUUCCCAUUUAAGGUCUUUGCCUCGUCCUCAGUGUGAACUUCGUAGCAGAAAGAGGAAUACACUGUGCCCGGCUGCUGGAGACAGACUGGGGAAGGAGGGCGCCCACUGUCGGGUCAAUGACUGCUUUGGGUAAACACUGUUUCACAACAAAUGGUAGAGUCCUGGUUUCCUCACAGCUCAGAAACCCAACUAGAGAACGAUCCUGCUUACUCACUCUCAGCAGAACGGACAGAACUCAGGGCAGAGCCCCCACGUAUGAUGUCGUGGACAUUGGGUAUUGGACAAAGUACAAGGGCUAAUGCCACGGUCAAAUACAGGGCAUGCUGGGCCCAACAGUUGGUCACACUUCUGCUGUGGUUGUCAGAGCUUGUUUUUCUGAGUACCAUGGAUCAAAAUCUUGACGUUUUAAUGUUCUACAUGCCAGCCUCCCUGGACCUUUUUGUGAUUUAUGAAUUGCCAUCUCCCAAAGUGAGAUUUCCAUGGUGCAUUUAUCUCUGGGGUCUUCAUCACAACCCCCCCCCCCCUCUGAGACAGGGUUUCUCUGCAUAGCCCUGGCUGUCCUGGAACUCACUCUGUAUAGAUCAGGCUGGCCUCAAACUCACAGAGAUUCACCUGCCUCUGCCUCCUGAAAGCAGGGAUCAAAGGCAUUUGCCACCACCUCCUGGCCAUCACAGUAUCUUGUAAGGGACAUUGUGGAACUCUGCAAGAAGAGGGGUGAGGGCUGGUACAUUGGCAAGGGCAAGGAGGGCCUUGCAUCAGUCUGCACAGAGAAGAAAAUACUAGGAGAUAGGCUGGCCUCUGCAGAGCCAACAUGCAGUUCAGCCCGCAGGCCUUAAGAAGAAGGAUACCUUCCAAAGCCAGAGCUGGGAGCAACACAGUAUCCUUGGAGGGAACAUUGGCAGUAACACUCCAAAGCAACAGACCGGAAUCAGAACUUUGCUGGACUCACCGCAGUGAGGGGUCAUUUGGUCCAUAGGUGUACAAAAAUCCGUGAGCAGAGGACUUCUGGGAACAGAUGUUGGACAUUGAUGCAGCUAUGAGAUGAGCACUCAGAGAGAACAAGACUGUUUUAUUCUAUUUCUGUGAAGAACAUAUUUGCAGUUUUGAUGGAGACUGGACUGAAUUUAUAUGUGGCUUUUGGUAAUAUAAGCCAUUGUCAUAAUACUGACUCUGCCAGCCGUUUGCACAGAGGAGGCAGAUGUCCUACAUACAUUCUCCAGAUUCUUUCUCCGAGAUGGUAAUACAGGAGCAAAUGUUGUAUCAAGAAUGCUGCCCUACAAAAACAGAAAACAGAAGUGGAAGGUACCACUCAAGGAUGCAGUCUCUGGAGAGUGUCAGCCUUGGUGUGAUCUGGAGAUUGCAGAUUGCACCUCAGAGCAAAUAGCUUCCAGACACCAGCCCCAUCAGUCAUUGGCUACAGGGAGAGGUGAAUUCCCAAGCACUUCCAAGUCUCACCAAGCUUAGAUUUAUACUGCGUCCUGGAGUCAGAAAUGGAGAGAGAGGAGGCAGCUGUGAUCUGAGAAGAACAUGGAAUUAGCGGAGUUUAAAAGAUAGAGACCGUCACAGAAAUCCACAACUGGUCAAAAUGCAAAGAAUAAGUAACUGUGAGGAUCCCAACCCCAAGUGAUACAUCUAUGACAAAACCUCUGCACCUAACCGUCAGGGGACAUGACGAAGGACUGUAAGAGAUGGAGGACCAGAACAUCUACUGAGAGGUAGUGUCUUCUACAUAUGACGAGAAAGCUACAUCUAUGAAAUGCUAACAAUAUGGUCACCUAAAAAAGACCUAUACAGUAAAAUCCCAACACGGAUGUGGGAAAAUCUCACAAGGCCUCACUCCUAGAAGAGCUGCAGGCAAAUAAUGACUGCUAAAAGAGAGAGAAUCAGAUUUCUCCAGGGACAAGCUGCCUAAGAGGUUGUCCAAUCCCAAUUUGUCAUCACUAAAUAAAUAUGCAUAUGAAUAGCACUAAAUGGACUCAGUAGGAUCUAUCUGUUUGUCUGUCUCUCUCUCUAUCCAUCUAUCUACCCAUCUACCUACCUACCUAUCUAUCUACCUCUCUAUUUAGCUAACUACCUAACUGCAGCAUUAAUAAUCAAACAAGAGGUCAUUAAGUUGAGAGGGGAUAGGAGAGGAGCUGGUGGGGGGAAGGGUGAAUGGAAAUGUUAUAAACAUAUUUCGUGUAUGAAAUUCU